ACCAGGCUGGUUUUUUAACAUGUACCAUUCUCUACUCAUAUGUUGAGCUUUCUUAAUGCUUUCUCUUCAUGACUAUUAACUCUUUGAUUCUAUCGGUUUAUCUGCAAGUCAUGUUUAUUUAAUGGUCAUCUAAUUAUUUAUGAUCUAUUUAUUUUACAGUCUUAUACUUAAAGUUACUUGGAUCGGCAUAGUUUGGUUCUCUGUUCAUCUCCAAAGUUCUGGUCUUGGUGUGCCACUGUGAUUAUAUACACCUUGUUUCCUGCUUAUUAUUUAUCCAAUUUUAAUUUGUUUUGACUGUUCGUUGCCAUUUUGUUAACGGAAUCCAAUACUGAAAUAGAAAUGGAUCUUAAUCAGCCAAGCGUUUUCAACCCAAAAAUGUUCAAUGAUGAAAGAGACCAAGUCCUCGGAUUGUUCAAUAAAUUACAAGCGUACUGGGGAACUGGGAAAGCAUUUUAUAUGCAAGGCCAAGCACCUAUCGAUUUAAAUCAACAUCAACCCAAUCAUAGAUUUAAAGCCAUCGGUUAUU